rnacentral:rRNA from 1 species
GCUCAGAUUGAACGCUGGCGGCAGGCCUAACACAUGCAAGUCGAACGGUAACAUUUCUAGCUUGCUAGAAGAUGACGAGUGGCGGACGGGUGAGUAAUGCUUGGGAACUUGCCUUUGCGAGGGGGAUAACAGUUGGAAACGACUGCUAAUACCGCAUAAUGUCUUCGGACCAAACGGGGCUUCGGCUCCGGCGCAAAGAGAGGCCCAAGUGAGAUUAGCUAGUUGGUAAGGUAACGGCUUACCAAGGCGACGAUCUCUAGCUGUUCUGAGAGGAAGAUCAGCCACACUGGGACUGAGACACGGCCCAGACUCCUACGGGAGGCAGCAGUGGGGAAUAUUGCACAAUGGGGGAAACCCUGAUGCAGCCAUGCCGCGUGUGUGAAGAAGGCCUUCGGGUUGUAAAGCACUUUCAGUUGUGAGGAAAAGUUAGUAGUUAAUACCUGCUAGCCGUGACGUUAACAACAGAAGAAG